CAUGUCUACAUAUGUACAUACACACAUCUACAUGUGUACAUACAUGCAAACAUAUCUACGUAUGUGCAUACACUCAAACAUAUCUACAUAUGUACAUACACACAAACAUGUCUAAACAGGGUAUACACACACAAGCAAAGGUCUCAUAGCUUUUACCUUGGGAUUCUAACCGUAAAGUAACAGUACACACUCAGUAUUUUAUAAAAAAAUAGCUGGAUACAUGUUACCGUCUGACAAAACUGGAACCUGUUUCCAUGGCUAAAUUGUGUUUUCUCCAAUAUAUAAUCUGUGAAAGCUGUGAACCAAACUUUGGGUAAAGCUAUCUUUAUGGCAGUUUUGUUUUUAAAAAAGCACCUUUUACCUUUUUUUUUCCCUUCAGCUUUAAACCAGUUUCCUGUGUUUACUUUCUAGUUAGUCGGUAAAUAAUGAGUCUUAUCACAGCACCAACAGCUUAGUAACAGCCAAUCUGAAGCAGGCAGAAAACAAAACAGAGGAAGAAAGAGAGGUUUUGAUGACUCUGCCUCACUUAAUAGCUGCAGUUAACCAUUUGAGCGCUCAAGUUUUCUUGCUAUAGUUUGCCUCUCUGUUUAAAUGUUCACAAAAGUAGGUCUUAAUAAGUAACCAGCUGAAAUCCCGAAGAUAAUGAGAAUAUGAAGUUCCUACCAGGCUCCUUUAAAAGGAGGGAAAGAGAAAAAGAUAGAAAAGGAGGUUUGUGAACCUUCUAGCUGCUGCAUGGUAUAGGGUUGGCACCCCCACCACUCUUGCUGACAUCCCAUCAGGGAGAGCCCCAGUACCCUGGACAUGCACAGUGUGAGACGAAUCCCUCCCACCUCUGCAAGUCAUGGGCAAAGGAAACUGUUGACAGCUGGAGAGAGCUAGGGGUACCUUUGACUGAGAUGAGUAAGGCUGUAGGUGGCUUUCAAGAUAAUCAGGAAGAUGAAGUUGAAAGUGAAAAGGAUAGGAAGAGAUCAGGGCCCACACUCAAAGGUCAUAUACUCACACUUACAAACAAAUGGUGAGCUUCCAAACAAACCCCAGUUAAGGGCUGGGUAGAAUCCUGAAUUUCUUUCCUCUGUUCAAAACAGCUCCACAGGUAUCUGAAACCAAGUGGAGCGAUACCCAGGAGUGCCACAAAGCAGUCACCACAUGUGCCCAUCACAGCUGAUGGUGGCAACUAACCCAUGCAGAGUACCGAAAUGAGCCAGGCUCUGUCUGCCCUCUCUUGUUAGUCACCCAGUUAAUCCUGCUAACAGUCCUGGGUUCUCUGCAUUUCCAGAGUGCAGGUCCUCCAGUAACCACUGAAAUGCUUUCUCGGGAGUUGUCAACUCCUUACAAACAUUUCUCCGUACUUGGCACAGAGCACAGUGACACCAGAGACAGGCUUCCCUGGACCCCCGCCCUGGCAGUGGCCGUGUCACUUCACUCAGGCCCAGGAAGAAGGCAGGCUGUGGUCUUCCACUGGGGAGCAACACCGAAAGGAUUUCUGACGUGGGUGAACUCUUGGAUCACCGUGCCCAGUCUCACGGAGUCUGCAGCAGAUGCAAUAAGGGCUUUGGCACUGGGAAGUGGAGCUCACCCAUCUGCCAAGCCCAAGGUUUGGAAUAGUUCACCAGUGAAGUCAUCUCAACAAGCACAGGGCCUUCACUCCUAACAACAAUCACAUGAAUUUGGAAGGGGAUCCUUCCCCAGCUGAACCUUCUUCGCUUGAGACCUGAUCCUUGGCCAUCAUCUGCAUCUGGAUUCAUGAUACAGAGAAACUUGAGUAAUGAUGACAAUGGCAGCCAUGCUGUCUCCCAUUCUUACCACCGGAUGUGAAGAAAUUCUAGAUGCGAUCCAGCCAAUCUGUACUCGACUCUCAGUUCCAUCUUCUCAACUCACAGUGUCUUCCAAAGUCCAUGCCACACCACAGCCUGGAAAAUCUCCCAAAGCAGUGUCUUGAGGCAAUGGUAGAGCUCAUGUCACAGCAUGGUAUGUCUCAGGUAUCACUGUCCUUCCUUGUUUGAUAUAGUCUCUCUUACAAACCAUUGUUCCAUACACUUUGCCCCUUUUGUGGUUGUGUAUACAUGUGGUAUGGCAUGUCUUAACCUCACAGUGAGGGUAUAAGCAUAGAGUUUUGCAUAUCUAGAGGUGUGGAUCAUUGGGAAGCAUCUUAGAAUCUACCUGCCAUAUCAGGUCCUGUCUAACCUGUAUCAGUUUGUGGGUCUUCACUUAUUUUUUUGACCUUGAUCCUAGUGAAAAGAACUUGUCAGGUGUUCCAUAGGAUGUAUCACAAUAUGGAUUCGUUAUAUUUUUUCAUCAUUUGACUAAGAUUAAACAUUAAUUUAUUCACAUAUUUAUCUAAUAUUGAAGACAAAAAUCGUGAACAACAUAUUAUUUAGAAAUACAAAUUUAGAAAAUAAUAAAGAAGAAUGAGGCUGAGCACGGUGGCUCAUGCCUAUAAUCCCAGCAAUUUGGGAAGCUGAGGUGGGUGGAUCACUUGAGGCCAGGAGUUUGAGCCCAGCCUAACUAACAUGAUGAAACCCUAUCUCUACUAAAAAUACAAAAAUUAGCUGGGUGUGCUGGAACACACCUGAACGUUUCUUAUAUUCUGUGUAAUAGUCUCCUAACAGUUAUAUGACUUGGGAAUAUCUUCUUCCAUUAUUUCAGUUGUCUUGAUGGUGCACUUUGCAUCUUAAAAGGUAUUGAUCCAUGUGAAGUUCAGGGCAUCUAUUUUUUUUCUGUCACUUGCACUUUUGUGUCACAUGUUAGAAUCCAUUGUUUCACAUAAGGCCAUGAAAACCUAUUCCCGUGUUCUCUUCUGUGGGAUUUUUAGUUUUAGCUCUUACAGCUACCCACGUAUUCUAUUUUGAGUCAAAUACAUAUAUGGUAAAGGAAAGAGUUAAACUUCCAUGUGGAUAUCCCUUUCUCCCAGGAACAUUUGUUGAAAAACUAUUUUUUCCUCUCUAAUCAAAUUUUCAACCUUGAAAAUAAGUUUGCCCUAUAUAUAAAGAUGGAUUUUGGCGUGCUCAACUCCAUUCUGUUGGCUUGUAUGUCUUUCCUUACGUUAUGUGAGUUUUCCGUGGAUGCUGUUUGUAGGUUUAGCAAGUUUUCUUCUAUGCCUAACUUUCCCAGAGCUUUUAUCAUGAAUGGGUUUGGAAUUUGUCAAAUACCUAUUCUGCGUCUUUAGAGGUGACCAUGAGUGUUUUUAACAAAAUUCUAUUACUAUAGUUUAUAACACCAGUUCUUUUUGUAGGUUUAACCAAACUUACAUUGCAAGGAUAAAUCGUUUUGUGUUUAGUGUAUAAUCCUUUUUAUAUGUUACUAGUUAAUUUUGAUAGUACUUCCUUGAUACUUUUUACCUAUUUCAUAUUGGUCUGUAAUUUUCCUUUCUGGAAAUGUCUUUGUCUAGCUGUGGGGUCAGGGAACACUGGCUUCAUACAGUGCAUUGGGAAAGGUUCUCUACUCGUCUGAUUUUAUUGAUUGUUAUUAAUGCUGAAAGGCUUUGAAUAACACAGCAGUGAAGUCAUCUUGACUUGGACAGAAAUUGAAUCCUUACAAGAAUUCUAGGAGCUUGGAAGGGGAUCCUUCCCCAGGUCUUCUUGUAGUCUCCACACUGCCUUCCACAAUGGUUGAACUAAUUUAGACAUCCACCAAUGGUGUGUAAGUAAUUCCUUUGUUCCACAACCCUGCCAGUAUCUAUUUCUCGACUAUUUAAUAAUAGCCAUUCUGACUGGUGUUAGAUGGUAUCACAUUGUGAUUUUUAAUUGCAUUUCUUUCAGGAUCGGUGAGGUUGAGCUUUUCUUCAUACGAUUGUUAG